rnacentral:lncRNA from 1 species
CCCAUCCCCAAAGGCACUGCAAAUACCUUAUCCCCAGUAUUUCCAGUAUUGGUAUCCUCCAAAGUUUAAUAGGAUAUGGCCGAAUAUUUCUUCCCUUGAGGUUUCUAACCCAAAACAAGUGCUCCCAAAUUAGCUUUGUCAACAGUUUCUUCUGUUCAAGUUGCAAACCACAAGAGAGGUGUUAUUGUAACCCUUUGGGCUCAAUCCAUGAUCGUUGUAAUGGCUCAGGAUUUUGUGAGUGUAAGACUGGAACAACAGGGCCUAAGUGUGAUGAGUGUCUGCCGGGAAAUUCCUGGCACUACGGCUGUCAACGAAUGUCUGCGACAACGAGCUCCUGCACUGCCAGAACGGAGGGACGUGCCACAACAACGUGCGCUGCCUGUGCCCGGCCGCAUACACGGGCAUCCUCUGCGAGAAGCUGCGGUGCGAGGAGGCUGGCAGCUGCGGCUCCGAC